GUCUGUUUGGUGUCUCUUAUCGAGAGAAAUGGAGAGUUAUGAGCAGUUUUACAGCAGGACAAUGAGCGCGCUGCUGCCGCCCGCCUGCAGUACCUCACCGCGGCCGCAGAGGGCGCUGUCCGACAUUCACUUCCGCGGCAGGAGACUCUUACAGCCGGUGCUGAAGAAGGUGCAGAAGGAGCCGGACAGCGCAGAGACGCCCACAUCAGACUCCUCUCUGACUCUCGGGUCCAAAACGAGCCCGAUGCGCUCCAUCAGAACCAGCGCGAGGCCGAGUACAGCUCCAGCUCAGAAGCAGACGCUCAGCCCCAGCAGCUCUCUGAAGAGAGAGACCCUCCGCCUGCUCAACCAGCGCAUGGAGAAGCUGGCGUCUGACGCGUCCAGCGACGGCUCGGUCCCAGCAUCCCCUUAUUCCAGCCUCUGUCUCAGUCUGAUGGGCUCCUACGCCCAGUUACCCAGCCCUCAGCCCAGCCGCAGCCCACGAGCGAACGCAUGCGCCGGAAACAUCCUCAUCUCCAGCCCCGUCAGCGAGUCCGAGCUCAGCACCACUGGAUCUAACAACAAUGAGCAAGCUUUCACCGCAUCUUCACCGCCCUCUUCUGCUGCAGAAUGGAACUGCAGCGGUUCAGAGUUCAGUGAUAGACAGCUGUCAAUCAUUACCUCCACACCCAGCAGCACCAGCAGCUGGACAGGAAUGACCGGGUUCGAUGAAACACAAGAUGAGAGCGGUGAGAAACCCAGACCGGCCCGUCGCUCAGCCCCGGCGCCCCUCAACCGCUCCUAUGAUGUAGAAAACCCCUCGCCAUCUCUGAACAGACCACAUGUGGAUUCAGUCGGGCCGAACCCAAGCCGAUUAGACACAGAAGGACACUCACAGCGGCUCCUGGAUGACCAGGUGAACCUCAGACAGCUCACUGGAGGGGAGCAGCAGAUCCAGGCUCUGGAAGUGUUGCGUGAGCGUUUAGAGAGAGAACACGCUCCGCAGAUCUCGCGGGAGAGACAAACACAACACCCCCAGCAGGAGAUCCAGAGGAAGCUGAACGAACACAGCGGCCUGACGUCAACGAAACACACUUCACACACACAGGUGUGUCGCUCCGGCCAGGGCUUCUGAGGGCUUCAUGCUGCAAAAUACACUUUCUGCAACUGUGUUUUGCAUGAUAUUUUUGUCACUAGAUAAUUAGAUAAUUGUAAUAAACGUGAUUAUUCCCUUUGGUUAAGAACUGCU
ensembl:lncRNA